UGUUGCAUAAUCAAGCUCGAUUCACAGCAGUGCAGGAACGCUUCAACAAGAUGAAGAUCGACAUGGAAAAGAAGAAGGAAGUUGCCGUCCGUAAUGACAGAAACAAAAUUGUUGUAGACAAUGAAGAAUACACUCCAACAGUUAAGG
rnacentral:ribozyme from 1 species